GACCUCAGAUCAGAUGAGAUUACCCGCUGAACUUAAGCAUAUCAAUAAGCGGAGGA
rnacentral:rRNA from 1 species